GAAAUGAACCAGAAAAAUUUGUUUGUCCUGCAUUUUCAAUCGCAUUAGGCUGCACAUUGCACCUGUGAUGAUGUCCAUCCAGAUCAACCACCUGCCUAGAAAGUGCACUAGAAGGACAACAGUCUACAUUAUUCUGCAUUGCCCCAGCAGUAACAACAUUUGUUUGUGCAUAGCUAUUAGAAACUGGAGCAUCUGUAGAAGGCUUAGAAGGUCGUUUAUCCAACUUCAAUAUCUCCUCAAUAUUCUGAACUGUAACUUCUCCAUGUGCUACAUCUGAUACAGCAUCAACCACAUCACUCUUAGACAUAACAUCAUCCCUAUCAUUCACAGUAGGAUGAGAAGUCUUUAGGACAUCAGUAUUUUUUGUAACAUCUGUUACAAUAACAGGUUGUGCAGCUGAAUCAAUUCGAC
rnacentral:lncRNA from 1 species